CUCAAAUUUGAAUUUAAAAUCAUUAACAAGUCAUUUUUAGCAUAAGUAUGUCCCAUACAAUAUUUGUGACAUACUUAUACUAAAAAAGUAUUCACUGUUUCUCUGAAAUUCAAAUUAAACUGUGCAUCCUGUAUUUU
rnacentral:miRNA from 1 species